UUUUUGAAAAAUACUAGACUUUUCUCAAAUGUAUUUCUUUACAGGAAUAAAAAGAAAGCUAAUUUUGCAUGAGCAUGCAGGAAGUCUGCAGACAGACAUUCUACAUAGUCCCUUGGGGACUCAGUAGAAGUGGAAUCAAGACCAACCCAAGCCCAACAAGGCAGCUCCGCUGGUUAAUGCCUCCCAGAUCUGUCAUCUGUGAUAAAGAGCCUCGCUGUAGCUGAGGAGCUGGCCAAGAACCUUUCCCAGUUAGCCAAGUUCGUGAAGAAGUCACAUGUGGUGAAUAUAUUAUCAUCAGAAUGCGGAGCAAUGAAAUGUAAACAGAUAGGAAUCGUCACUAAAGCUCCAACUGCAGCCUCCGGGUGCCAUAGCUUUUGCACCAUCCAUUUGCACCAUCUCUGCAUUGCUCUCAAUCACUGCCACGAGUCUGGUGAUGCGCUAAGCUCGGGGCAGGAUCUCAAGGGCUUUGAGGAUGUCUGCAUCAUCUGUAUUGACCUGCUCCCCAGAUUAAUACCGAAGCACUGCAAUUUCUUGAGGAUUAUCCACCUAGGAGGAAAUGAUACGCUGGCCCAUCCAUAGUAGUCAAGGGAACCACCAUCUCAGAUGGUAGAAACCACUCAGAAGGAUCAACUGCUGCAGACGGGAAGAGGAGCAACCUCGUGAAUAAUUUCGUGACAGGAUAUUGCAGGAGGGACUUUGUCCAAAUGUGUGCAGGGUAGUUGGCUACAGCAACAAGGAUGACGAACACAGAUGAAUUGAUCAGGAUGUAACCAUUCAAAGUUGAGAG
rnacentral:lncRNA from 1 species